AUUCAUUUUAGCUCGAGACAGUGAAGUGAUACAUUGUUGAGGCGGCAUUUAAGACUAUUUAUAAUCAACUGACAUAGUUGAGUUAAAAGACAUUCUAUAUUCGUUUGUUUACGAUUAAUUACUACACACAAUCAAGAUGGAACUUUAUAGAUUGGUUUUUGAUUGUUUAACAUUAAUUGCAUUUUCUAAGGUAAGUUUUGAUUUAGAAAAAUAGGUCUUUCUUUUGUUGACCUCUUUAAUCUUUUGUUAUCUCAGUGUUAAAACAUGAAUGUUAACUUUCUUAAAAACUUCAUUUUGUAGGUUUUUGUGAAUUCUAAUGAAUGCAACGAUAACUCAGCAGCAACAGCCAAAAUAGUGAAAUCAUGUCCACAAAAUCACAAGGAAUGGAUCGAAGCAGCUGCAAGGAAAGGCUGUGAACAAAUGGCACAUUUUUGUUCAUCAUCUGAAUACCACUGCGUAAUUAAUGCAUGGGGAAAUGAAACAAUUGAAGUUUGUGCCCCAAAACAGCAAAUUGUUGGAAAUAAUUGUGCUGAAUAUAGCCAAGGCGGGAAAAGAAUUCAACGCAACAGAAAUGUACCAUGCAGAAACUGUCCGUCUUUUUACCAAUCUAAUGAAAGUUUCAAUUGUAAGUUUAUGUUUAUGAAAAAAUAAGAACACAAUGACAUUUGUUUUAUUAGUUAAAGUAUCUUUAUUCAUAAAUAUUCUCUUAAUGGCCUAAAAUUCAAGAAAUUAUAUUGCUCUUCUAACAGAUCAAGAAUGUUAUGAGCACGUCAAAAAUGCAAAAACAUCACACACAACACAACUGACAACCGAAUCAAUAUCAGUGGAAUCAACUGAAGAAAAAGUUUACCAAUCUACAUCAGUAACUCCUAUGGAGAAUUCAGCACGUCUAUUUCAAAAUAUUGAUAACCAAAAUACACCGAGUCAUAUGUAAGUAAAAUCU
rnacentral:misc_RNA from 1 species